rnacentral:rRNA from 1 species
GCAAGUCGAACGAGAACGGGUAUUAGCUUGCUAAUACUGUCAGCUAAGUGGCGCACGGGUGAGUAAUAUAUAGGUGACAUGCCUUUUACAAAGAAAUAACAGUUGGAAACGACUGCUAAUGUCUUAUAUGCCUUUAGGACGUAAGUCUGCAAGGGAAAGAUUUAUCGGUAAAAGAUUGGCCUGUACAGUAUCAGUUAGUUGGUGGGGUAAUGGCCUACCAAGACAAUGACGCUUAACUGGUUUGAGAGGAUGAUC